rnacentral:rRNA from 1 species
AGCUCUAAUAGCGUAUAUUAAAGUUGUUGCAGUUAAAAAGCUCGUAGUCGGAUGUCGGGUUCGGGGUGGCUGUCGGCCUAGGUCGGAUGGCCGUUCCGGAUCUUUCUGCCUGGGGAUCCUAUUCUUCUUAACCGAGGGGUAGUGGGACGCAGGCCGUUUACUUUGAAAAAAUUAGAGUGUUCAAAGCAGGCUUUGUCUUGAAUACAUUAGCAUGGAAUAAUGGAAUAGGACUUUGGUCUUAUUUGUUGGUUUAUGGGACCGAAGUAAUGAUUAACAGGGACAGUUGGGGCCGUUUAUAUUUCGUUGUCAGAGGUGAAAUUCUUGGAUUUACGAAAGAUAAACUUCUGCGAAAGCAUUCGGCAAGGAUGUUUUCAUUG